rnacentral:rRNA from 1 species
UCCUACGGGAGGCAGCAGUAGGGAAUAUUGGGCAAUGGCCGAGAGGCUGACCCAGCCAUGCCGCGUGCAGGAAGAAGGCCUUCUGGGUUGUAAACUGCUUUUAUCGGGGAAGAAAACGCUCCUGCGGGAGUAACUGACGGUACCCGAUGAAUAAGCACCGGCUAACUCCGUGCCAGCAGCCGCGGUAAUACGGAGGGUGCAAGCGUUGUCCGGAUUUAUUGGGUUUAAAGGGUGUGUAGGCGGCUUGUUAAGUCAGCGGUGAAAUCCCAGGGCUCAACCCUGGAACUGCCGUUGAUACUGGCAAGCUUGAGUUCGGUCGAGGCGGGCGGAACUGGUGGUGUAGCGGUGAAAUGCAUAGAUACCACCAAGAACCCCGAUUGCGAAGGCAGCUCGCUGGGCCGAAACUGACGCUGAGGCACGAAAGCGUGGGGAGCGAACAGGAUUAGAUACCCUGGUAGUCCACGCCGUAAACGAUGAUGACUCGAUGUUUGCGAUACACAGUAAGCGUCCAAGCGAAAGCGUUAAGUCAUCCACCUGGGGAGUACGCCCGCAAGGGUGAAACUCAAAGGAAUUGACGGA